GCUCAUGCCAAAUGUCUGGGAUCUGUUAAUCCAUUAUCCUCUAUCCGUAAAUGGCCUAAAGAGAGGCGUCUCACUCUGAAUCACCAAACUUGAUGCUUUCCUCCAGCUUGACCAUAUGUACAGCUGGCACACGUAUCCAUAUGUGUUUUGCAUAUGUCUACUCUGAUUUGGCAUGAGUAACACACAGGUGUCACAGUGAAGUGGCAGCCAUGUUAUGGAGUAGACGCCGGUUAUUACCUCAAGGCACAAUAUCAGUGGUGAGAAAAACUGUCACAACUUUGCGUCACUGACACACAGAGAGUGGAGGAGCUUCAAUCUGUCACGGAGGGUUAGAACUACAAGCUGUGCUAAUUGAAGACAUCUAAGGAUAUGCAAAACGAUAGAAUUAGAGAGAAGGUGUGAUGCAUUGUGAAAUUCACUUUUAAAGCUCUGUUUUAUUUCCCUGCUGUGUUCCACCGAAAGCUCAAAUUUAUUUGUAAUGCUUUAAAGGGAUGGUUCACUGAAAAAUGAUAAUUAUAAUUCUGUCAUCAUUCAAAUACCCUCAAGUUGUUACAAACCUGUACAAAUGUCUUGCUUUUGCUGAACACAAAGGAAGAUACU